rnacentral:lncRNA from 1 species
CUGAAGCGUAUAGCACGUUUAUCAAGUGUUUAUAAAAUGCACAGACUUUACACUUUUUAUUGAAUAUAAACUUUUGAUUAGAUGUUUAUGAUUUUGCAAAUUUGUAUUAUCGCAUUGGUUGCUUUGAAAACCAAUGCUUUGUCUCAAAAUCAAUCAUUAUCGCUUGCUGCAUACUACAUAAAGAAAUGCAUAAACCCGGCUAUAGUUG